CAGCAGCCGCGGUAAUACCGGCGGCCCGAGUGGCGGUCACUAUUAUUGGGCUUAAAGCGUCCGUAGCCGGGUUGGGAAGUCCUCCGGGAAAUCUGGCCGCUUAACGGUCAGAAUGCCGGAGGAUACUCCCAGCCUAGGGAGCGGGAGAGGCCGAGGGGAUUCCCGGAGUAGGGGGGAAAUCCUAUAAUCCCGGGAGGUCCACCUGUGGCGAAGGCGCUCGGCUGGAACGCGUCCGACGGUGAGGGACGAAGGCCAGGGGAGCAAACCGGAUUAGAUACCCGGGUAGUCCUGGCUGUAAACGAUGCGGACUUUGUGUCGGACAAGCUAUGAGCUUGUCCGGUGCCGGAGGGAAACCGUUAAGUCCGCCGCCUGGGGAGUACGGCCGCAAGGCUGAAACUUAAAGGAAUUGGCGGG
rnacentral:rRNA from 1 species